AUCUACCAAAUAUAAUCUACCUGUAACUUUAAACAUAUGAUAAACUGACAAAACAAUGCAGUGUUUCAUUGACCAAUGAACCAUGCAUGAAAAUGAGGUCAAGUUCAUAUAAAAUAUGACAGACAGCUAAGUGCAUCUUACAAUUAUUUCAUUCACUAAAUAAAGGGGCCUUAUUGCUUACAGUAUCCGGAAAAUAGACCAAACCACAAAAACUAAAUAUUUUCAAAGUUCCUUAUACCCUGCCAAUUUGUUAUGGUUGUGCCUGUUCCAAGUCAGGAUCCGAUAAUUCAGUGAUUGUCGUUUGUUUAUGUGUAACAUAUCUGUUUUUCAAUUUUUUUUGUACAUAAAUUAGGUUGUUAGUUUUCAACUUUCAACUUGGCUAUCAUGUGUAAAAUC
rnacentral:lncRNA from 1 species